AGUGAACGCUGGCGGUAGGCCUAACACAUGCAAGUCGAACGGCAGCACAGUAAGAGCUUGCUCUUACGGGUGGCGAGUGGCGGACGGGUGAGGAAUACAUCGGAAUCUACUUUUUCGUGGGGGAUAACGUAGGGAAACUUACGCUAAUACCGCAUACGACCUACGGGUGAAAGCAGGGGAUCUUCGGACCUUGCGCGAUUGAAUGAGCCGAUGUCGGAUUAGCUAGUUGGCGGGGUAAAGGCCCACCAAGGCGACGAUCCGUAGCUGGUCUGAGAGGAUGAUCAGCCACACUGGAAAUGAGACACGGUCCAGACUCCUACGGGAGGCAGCAGUGGGGAAUAUUGGACAAUGGGCGCAAGCCUGAUCCAGCCAUACAGCGUGGGUGAAGAAGGCUUUCGGGUUGUAAAGCCCUUUUGUUGGGAAAGAAAAGCAGCAGGUUAAUACCCCGCUGUUCUGACGGUACCAAAAGAAUAAGCACCGGCUAACUUCGUG
rnacentral:rRNA from 1 species